GAUGAACGCUGGCGGCGCGCUUAAGACAUGCAAGUCGAACGGUUCAAUAACAUUGCUGAAGAUGAAGAUUUAUCAGAUUUGGAAGCGCCGUUGUUGGAUAGUGGCGGACGGGUGAGUAACACGUGAGCAACCUGCCUUCAAGAGGGGGAUAACAGAGAGAAAUUUCUGCUAAUACCGCAUAAGACCACAGCAUCGCAUGGUGCAGAGGUCAAAGGAGUAAUCCGCUUGAAGAUGGGCUUGCGGCUGAUUAGCUAGUUGGUGAGGUAAAGGCCCACCAAGGCGACGAUCAGUAGCCGAACUGAGAGGUUGAUCGGCCACAUUGGGACUGAGACACGGCCCAGACUCCUACGGGAGGCAGCAGUCGGGAAUAUUGCACAAUGGGGGAAACCCUGAUGCAGCGACGCCGCGUAAAGGAAGAAGGUCUUCGGAUUGUAAACUUUUGUCGACAGGGAAGAGAAAGGACAGUACCUGU
rnacentral:rRNA from 1 species